GAGGUCCUGUUUAAACCUGGUGUCGGAGCGCUGGGAUAAGGAGGAGUCACUUCCCAGCUCACUUAAUGCAAGAUGCAGGGUACACCCGGAAUACCAAGAAACCCACAAACGGUCAUGUGUGAGUGGUUAGCACGCAGGCCACACAGCUAGGAGACCUGAGUUCGAUUCCACCCUCGGCCAUCUCUGUGUGGAGUUUGCAUGUCCUCCCUGUGCAUGCUGGGAUACGCUCCCCCACGACCCUCAUGAAGAUAAGAGCAGAACCUUCUUAUGCUGCUCAGCAAUUGCCAGGGUGGAAGAGUGAACCAUUUGAUAUAUCUGCUCUCCUUCUCUGGUCUGGAACGUGUAGAGACCUUCACCGCUGUCACACCUAUAAAAACCAAACAGGGGCAAGUGCUGGGAAAACUGACAUGACACCGGUAUCAUUCCAUUGAAUGUAUCAUAGACAAACAUGUAUCGGGUUAUCAAUCCGAAGCUAAUUCUACAGACCAUUGUUUGAUCUGAUCUGAAAAGGUACAUGCAUUCCCAAUCAGUCAUUUGUAUUUUGUUGGUCUAUAAAAUGAUGAGAAAACAACCAUAAAGUCUACCUUCCUGCCUCAAAGGUGAAGCGAGUGGCGUCACGCCCGUAGCGUCGCAAGGAGCUGAGUGGCCAGGUCACCAGCUUGGUGCGGGGGUUGUGAAUGUCCCAAAGGUAAAUGUUCUCAUGGGUGAUCUGCAUCAUGCAUUCUCCAUAGAUGUCCAAGUUGGGGCAAGGUAGGAGGAACACAUUGAAGCGCUCUAGAAAAAGAAAGUCAAUGUCAAACAUGCGUCAAUUCUAGGAAAAAAUGGUCAGUUUAUGUCAACAUGUGUUGUAUUGUCAUGUUUUAGUGUACAUGUUUUGGCAAAAGCAGAUUUAUGAUACAUGAAAAUCAAUAAAAACAGCCGAAAAAUGGUGGCAUUCUCUCACAGAUGCUGUCUGAUUGUUAUUGGACUGCUCUAAGCACCAGUAACCACCAUCAUUUGGUCCCAAAAUAGUCCCAUGUCAGCCAAUGGGAUCCUCCGGCUUAGGGCCACUGACAUUUUUUUUCAGUUGACUUUUGUGUGUGUAUUUGGAAAUUAGACCUGUGUGUUCACACUGCAUCCCAGCUGCCAGGAGAUCUGGUUCUCCCAUGAUGAUGUCAUUGACCCUAGUUCCCAAACACUCGAUUGACAGUGUCUUGAACCAGUCUUCAGCCUCCAGUUCUAGAGAAAAAGAGAAAAGCGGACCAAUAGAUUUACAAAAUUCCACUCAUGUAUGCAGUCCAUUUCACCUAUAAUUUUGACAGAUUGAAAAUCUCAAUGGGAAUAUGUUUUCGGAGAUGUCAAUUGUGUUGGUUGUGGAUGUGUACUACAUUACCCAGAAGCCGUAGUGCUUGAGGGAACCAGAAGUUUAUGCACUGUUGAAGCUACAAGCGAGUAAAGGUGAUAUGCUAAAAAAGCACAUCAAUAUUAUGAACACUGCUGUUCUUGAU